UCCCAGAAGUUUUUGGACAUGGCUCAGGACGAACGCUGGCGGCGUGCUAAUACAUGCAAGUCGAGCGGACAGAUGGGAGCUUGCUCCCUGAUGUUAGCGGCGGACGGGUGAGUAACACGUGGGUAACCUGCCUGUAAGACUGGGAUAACUCCGGGAAACCGGGGCUAAUACCGGAUGGUUGUUUGAACCGCAUGGUUCAAACAUAAAAGGUGGCUUCGGCUACCACUUACAGAUGGACCCGCGGCGCAUUAGCUAGUUGGUGAGGUAAUGGCUCACCAAGGCAACGAUGCGUAGCCGACCUGAGAGGGUGAUCGGCCACACUGGGACUGAGACACGGCCCAGACUCCUACGGGAGGCAGCAGUAGGGAAUCUUCCGCAAUGGACGAAAGUCUGACGGAGCAACGCCGCGUGAGUGAUGAAGGUUUUCGGAUCGUAAAGCUCUGUUGUUAGGGAAGAACAAGUACCGUUCGAAUAGGGCGGUACCUUGACGGUACCUAACCAGAAAGCCACGGCUAACUACGUGCCAGCAGCCGCGGUAAUACGUAGGUGGCAAGCGUUGUCCGGAAUUAUUGGGCGUAAAGGGCUCGCAGGCGGUUUCUUAAGUCUGAUGUGAAAGCCCCCGGCUCAACCGGGGAGGGUCAUUGGAAACUGGGGAACUUGAGUGCAGAAGAGGAGAGUGGAAUUCCACGUGUAGCGGUGAAAUGCGUAGAGAUGUGGAGGAACACCAGUGGCGAAGGCGACUCUCUGGUCUGUAACUGACGCUGAGGAGCGAAAGCGUGGGGAGCGAACAGGAUUAGAUACCCUGGUAGUCCACGCCGUAAACGAUGAGUGCUAAGUGUUAGGGGGUUUCCGCCCCUUAGUGCUGCAGCUAACGCAUAAGCACUCCGCUUGGGAUAUUAA
rnacentral:rRNA from 1 species